UCUUAAAAUAAGAAGGUCCAGCCCUGCCCAGUUGGAUACAAUUUAACGGCCGCGGGUAUACUGACCGUGCGAAGGUAGCAUAAUCACUUGUUCUUUAAAUGGGGACUAGUAUGAACGGCACCACGAGGGCUUUACUGUCUCCUCCCUCCAAUCAGUGAAACUGACCUCCCUGUGAAGAGGCAGGGAUACCACUAUAAGACGAGAAGACCCCAUGGAGCUUUAAACCCAACAACAGCCCAAACACCACCACCCCAAAAAGUUUUAAGGGUAUUGCUAGUUGGUUUUAGGUUGGGGUGACCGCGGAGUAUAAACUAUCCUCCACGACGAACGGGCCUACCCCCUUACCCAAGAGCUACGCCUCUAAGGAUUAACACAUUAACGUAAAAUGAUCCAAAUAUUUGAUCAACGAACCAAGUUACCCUGGGGAUAACAGCGCAAUCCAUUUUUAGAGCCCCUAUCGACAAAUGGGUUUACGACCUCGAUGUUGGAUCAGGGUAUCCAGGAGGUGCAGCCGCUUCCAAUGGUUUGUUUGUUCAACAAUUAAAACCCUACGUGAUCUGAGUUCAAAACCGGGAGAAGAA
rnacentral:rRNA from 1 species